AUACGAAGGGGGCAAGCGUUGUUCGGAAUAACUGGGCGUAAAGCGCACGUAGGCGGAAUGUUAUGUUAGAGGUGAAAUCCCAGGGCUCAACCCUGGAACGGCCUUUAAUACUGGCAAUCUAGAGACCGAGAGAGGUGAGUGGAAUUCCGAGUGUAGAGGUGAAAUUCGUAGAUAUUCGGAGGAACACCAGUGGUGAAGGCGGCUCACUGGCUCGGUACUGACGCUGAGGUGCGAAAGCGUGGGGAGCAAACAGGAUUAGAUACCCUAGUAGUCC
rnacentral:rRNA from 1 species